UGUGGGAGCGAGCUUGCUCGCGAUGGCGGUGGAUCUGUCACAUGCAUGUUGACUGACAGGCCGCCAUCGCGAGCAAGCUCGCUCCCACA
rnacentral:misc_RNA from 1 species